rnacentral:rRNA from 1 species
CAGUCGCCACGGUAAUACGGAGGGUGCAAGCGUUAAUCGGAAUUACUGGGCGUAAAGCGCACGCAGGCGGUCUGACAAGUCAGAUGUGAAAUCCCCGGGCUUAACCUGGGAACUGCAUUUGAAACUGUCAGGCUGGAGUCUUGUAGAGGGGGGUGGAAUUCCAGGUGUAGCGGUGAAAUGCGUAGAGAUCUGGAGGAAUACCGGUGACGAAGGCGGCCCCCUGGACAAAGACUGACGCUCAGGUGCGAAAGCGUGGGGAGCAAACAGGAUUAGAUACCCCUGUAGUCCCUGUCUCUUAUAC